rnacentral:misc_RNA from 1 species
AAAUGCGAUAAGUAAUGUCAAUUGCAGAAUUCAGUGAAUCAUCGAAUCUUUGAACGCACCUUGCGCUCCUUGGUAUUCCUUGGAGCAUGCCUGUUUGAGUAUCAUGAAAUCUUCAAAGUAAAUCUUUUGUUAACUCAAUUGGUUUCUACUUUGGUAUUGGAGGUCUUUGCAGCUUCACACCUGCUCCUCUUUGUUCAUUAGCUGGAUCUCAGUGUUAUGCUUGGUUCCACUCGGCGUGAUAAGUUAUCUAUCGCUGAGGACACUGUAAAAGGUGGCCAAGGUAAAUGCAGAUGAACCGCUUCUAAUAGUCCAUUGACUUGGACAAUACUUUUAUGAUCUGAUCUCAAAUCAGGUAGGACUACCCGCUGAACUUAAGC